rnacentral:rRNA from 1 species
GAUGAACGCUGGCGGCGUGCCUAAUACAUGCAAGUCGAACGAAGAUCUAGCUUGCUAGAUCUUAGUGGCGAACGGGUGAGUAAUACAUAAAUAAUCUGCCCAUAUGACUGGGAUAACUAUUGGAAACGAUAGCUAAUACCGGAUAGGUUGAUUGGAGGCAUCUCUGAUUAAUUAAAGUAGGAUUUCUACACAAAUGGAUGAGUUUAUGGCGCAUUAGUUAGUUGGUGGGGUAACGGCCUACCAAGACGAUGAUGCGUAGCCGACCUGUGAGGGUGACCGGCCACACUGGGACUGAGACACGGCCCAGACUCCUACGGGAGGCAGCAGUAGGGAAUUUUCGGCAAUGGGCGCAAGCCUGACCGAGCAACGCCGCGUGAGUGAUUAAGGCCUUCGGGUUGUAAAGCUCUGUUGUAAGGGAAGAACAUUCAGGAUAGGAAAUGAUCUUGAACUGACGGUACCUUACCAGAAAGCCACGGCUAACUACGUGCCAGCCGCCGCCGUAAUAC